CCGUGAUUCAUUAAGGGAGGGUGAGAACCCUCGCCAGGGUUCGACUGAUACCGCAGGUAUCAGGACAACCUGUGCAACAGGUUGCCCCGCAGGGGUGAGCGUAGCGAAUCAAUCCCUCCCUCACCAUUC
rnacentral:sRNA from 1 species